AUUGAACGCUGGCGGCAGGCUUAACACAUGCAAGUCGAGCGGGGAAAGGUAGCUUGCUACCUGACCUAGCGGCGGACGGGUGAGUAAUGCUUAGGAAUCUGCCUAUUAGUGGGGACAACAUCUCGAAAGGGAUGCUAAUACCGCAUACGUCCUACGGGAGAAAGCAGGGGACCUUCGGGCCUUGCGCUAAUAGAUGAGCCUAAGUCGGAUUAGCUAGUUGGUGGGGUAAAGGCCUACCAAGGCGACGAUCUGUAGCGGGUCUGAGAGGAUGAUCCGCCACACUGGGACUGAGACACGGCCCAGACUCCUACGGGAGGCAGCAGUGGGGAAUAUUGGACAAUGAGGGGAACCCUGAUCCAGCCAUGCCGCGUGUGUGAAGAAGGCCUUUUGGUUGUAAAGCACUUUAAGCGAGGAGGAGGCUACCGAGAUUAAUACUCUUGGAUAGUGGACGUUACUCGCAGAAUAAGCACCGGCUAACUCUGUGCCAGCCGCCGCAGUAAGAC
rnacentral:rRNA from 1 species